rnacentral:misc_RNA from 1 species
AAUUCUCAACUACAAUUGCUUUUAUAAGUCAUUGUAGCUUGGACAAUGGGGGUUAUGCAGGCCUUCCAAGGUCAGCUCCUCUAAAAUGCAUUAGCGGAACUGUUUGCAGUCAGUCACCGGUGUGAUAAUUAUCUAUGCCAAUAGACUUGACUGCUCUCUUUCUGAUCUGCUUCCAAUUGUCUUUGUAGACAACUUUUGAAU